CCUACGGGGGGCAGCAGUGAGGAAUAUUGGUCAAUGGACGAGAGUCUGAACCAGCCAAGUAGCGUGAAGGAUGACUGCCCUCUGGGUUGUAACCUUCUUUUAUAAAGGAAUAAAACGAGGCACGUGUGCCUUUUUGCAUGUACUUUAUGAAUAAGGAUCGGCUAACUCAGUGCCAGCAGCCGCGGUAAUACGGAGGAUCCGAGCAUUAUCCGGAUUUAUUGGGUUUAAAGGGAGCGUAGAGGGUUUGUUAAGUCAGUUGUGAAAGUUUGCGGCUCAACCGUAAAAUUGCAAUUGAUACUGGCAGUCUUGAGUACAGUUGAGGUAGGCGGAAUUCGUGGUGUAGCGGGGAAAUGCUUAGAUAUCACGAAGAACCCCGAUUGCGAAGGCAGCUUACUAAACUGUGACUGACAUUGAUGCUCGAAAGUGUGGGUAUCAAACAGGAUUAGAUACCCUAGUAGUC
rnacentral:rRNA from 1 species